rnacentral:lncRNA from 1 species
UAUCUCUAGGUUCCUAUGUUGAAUUAAACAGAAUUACUAUUUCAGGAUUAAAAGCUAGGGUUAGUAGUCAUUCAAUUCCUAAGAUCAAUUUAUGUGAUUGCAAGAAGCUAGGGUUAAUAGUCAUGCAAGCAAUCAUAUGAAAAGCAAUGAACACAAAUAAUUCUGAAUAAAGACUGAAUAAUAUUGAUAAUAAAGAGAGUUUCAACUACAUUCAUAUAUUACAAUAGGUUCAUCAUGGCUCAAUCAAAGAGAAUUAGCUAGACAUGAUUAAAUAAAUAAACAACAUAGUAAGAAAAUAAAUCGAUAGAGUUUCGUCGAUGUCGGCGUUGCUCCUCAAUCUUCUUUCAAUCUGUGUUGUUUUCUCUCUCCCCUGUAGCGUCCCUUUUCCAAAACGUAAAUCCUAUAUUUAUUUCUUCCAAAAGUGUGAUCACCUUUCCUUGUUCCUGUACGUUUUCUCCUAUAAGCCCAUCAAUUAAUAUGUUGCUUUUUGUCACCUCUUGUUUUUCUCUUCUUUGAUUAUAUAAAUAUAACCAAUAAUAAUGAUAAUAACCUAUUAAUUCCAAUCAUUUGCUUGCUUGACUCAAUAGACCAAAAAUACCAUACUUUAUUUAAAUUGACUCUAAAUUAAAUACUAAACUAAUAAAACUAGACUAAAAACUUAUUAAAAAAAAACUUUAAAAAUAGUGAAUGACUGACUGUCAUCACAACCCCAAACUUGAACCAUUCCUUGUCCUCAAGGAUUUACUUGUAACAUUGACAAUUGACAGUAAAAUAACAAUUACCUGAUCAAGCGAUAGUACCCAAAAGUUCAACACCUUACUAGCUAAAGAUGAGCUAGUUUGACUUGUUAGCAACCACCAAUUCACAACUCCACGCAACAAUAUGAAAGGGUUCACACACAGUCGACAUGCAAUCUACAUAUUACCAUACGCUUGAAAAGUUUCUAAACGUCAAUCAAAAUCAAUGUCAAUGCACACUUUGAGGUCUUUAACGGUUAUAACGGGGCUUAGGUGAAGGUGAGAUAAUAUUUGGAUAAGUAGGCUACACAAAAUUUGAGUUAGGCAUUCCUACGGAAGUUAAGCACAAAAUUCAAUCCAUCAUUCAUUCACCUUUUGGAACAACAAUUCUUGCAAGGGUACUAGAAAUUAUUUAUAACAAUCGGGACAAUCGAGUUUGAAGUUACUCGGUUUUUCAAUGUCAUGUCCCUUUUUCAUUCUAUUAUAUUCUCUUUUUUUUUUUUUUGAACACACCAUUUUGGCAUAUUGUUUUCAUGAGAAUGUUUUUUUUUUCUUUGUUCUCUAGUACCCCACCCCAAACUUAAUUGGUUGCAAAUUCCAUUAGCAACCCCAAACUUAAUAUUUAGCAACAUUCUUCAAUGCCUAACUCAGAAAAACAAUAAGGGAUAAAUCCUAAAAGUCUCCAAGCUUGUAAUGUAGUUUGUCACCGAACAAAAAGUUCUAAACCUACCGGCUCAAUUUGGCUAAAGAAAGGAUAAUUAUUCAAAUAUAAACAGGGUAGGCUUCAAAAAGGCUCACAGGACCAAGCACUUUUGCCUCAGUGUGCUAAUGACAAAGAUCAAUCGACAGUAGAGAAAAAUUGCAAGUUCUAGAAAUGUAAAUGCAUGGAACACUCUUUAGAAGUAAAUUAGAAAAUAAAAUUUGGCCAUGAACCUUACAGUUUAGAUUUCUGGGAGUUGUGACUACCUAUCCUUAACUGCAGUACACUUCGCCUUUGAAAUCACAAGUCACUCCUCCUUUUGAACUUUUGGAAUACCACUUGAACACAUAUUUGUUACUAAACUGGAAAAAGUCAAUAAAACAAGAAAAUUCAUCAAUAAUAAACAAGUGCAAGAACAAUUACAUAACAGGGGGAUACAACUGAGUUAUUCAAACACACUGACAAUUGCCUGACUCAACAAUAGGAAUAAAAUACUGAAAAUAAAAACAUAAUAAAAAUGAUGGGUUGCCUCCCAUCAAGCGCUUUAUUUUACGUCAUUGAGCUUGACGCUCCAACCACUGUUAGGGUGGCAAAUAUGAUAGAAAGAAUAUAUCAUCCUUCUUCUUCCUCUUGUUUGGUAGGAAUUCCAUGAAUUUGGCACAAAGCAGUAGAUGCUCCCAUGCUCCAGCCACUAAAUCUUUGUCAUUUGAGCUCUCCCACCUUAAAGAAGGACAUGCAUCUAUUUGCACAAGAGUGAUUUCCUUAACCCCCGUUGAUCCAGACUUCGAGAAAAUAUCAACACUCCUCACUUUGGAAUUUUCUUCUACCACAACCUUGUGACACACAGUCUCCAUCUGAACCAACUUCCUCUGAGACUCAUGUGCUUUCUCAACAAGAUUACCACACUGAACAUCAAACUUCUCAAAUAAAACUUGAUUUGACACCAAGAAAUCAUCUAAAAUAUUUUGAAGUUGAGUAUUGUAACCGAUGUUGAUCAUCUCUUUCUUCUCUUCACAAUUACUACCUGGUUGAUCCCCCUCAUAACGACCACAUCUCUCAUUUAAUCUUGAGAUUUUAUUGUCAAAAUAUCCUAUCUUCAAAGAUAGCAUAUAUUUUUCAUACUUCAACAUACCAAUCUCUUUUGUGUCAUGGAGGUAUAACCUGUCUAUCAUAGCUGCAACACUUGAAUAAACUUUUUAGUAGCACAGUACAAUGAGAAGAAAAAGAAGAGCAUAAAUCAUUUUUUUUUUAUAAACAAAAAUAUAAAUGACAGAAAUCCUAAAUAAAAACAAAAUUACCAAAUUGAAAUGACUCAACAGUCCCCGGCAGCAGCGCCAAAAACUUGAUAAAAUUUUAGCAAGUGUACUAAAACUAUCGAAGUAAUAAAAUAAAUUCGUAUCCACGAGGACUGUGUUAAUCUCAACUUAGCAAUAAAGUUAAUAUCUAGGAUGUGUAAAUUUUAUAAGUGUCUGAGGCAGUAGAUUAGGGUGCAAUAAAAAGUAAAUAAUAGGAAAUAAAAUGGUUUGAUGAUUGGAUUAAAACAGAUGAUCAAGCCAGUGAAUCCUCUAUUGCUUUAUGUGAAAUAGCUUAUCUCUCUUUACUCUCAACACUUAUUCAAUCUUUACGACAAAUUAACUAAUUAGUUUUGAUCAAUCUCUUGACUCAAAACCCUUUCCUAAGUUAAAACAUUUUAAUCUCUUAAACCGAUUGAAUAACCGCGGAAGCGAUGUCAGAAUGUUAAUUCAUAUGUCAUAACCCUCAAUUUCCUAUCUCUAGGUUCCUAUGUUGAAUUAAACAGAAUUACUAUUUCAGGAUUAAAAGCUAGGGUUAGUAGUCAUUCAAUUCCUAAGAUCAAUUUAUGUGAUUGCAAGAAGCUAGGGUUAAUAGUCAUGCAAGCAAUCAUAUGAAAAACAAUGAACACAAAUAAUUCUGAAUAAAGACUGAAUAAUAUUGAUAAUAAAGAGAGUUUCAACUACAUUCAUAUAUUACAAUAGGUUCAUCAUGGCUCAAUCAAAGAGAAUUAGCUAGACAUGAUUAAAUAAAUAAACAACAUAGUAAGAAAAUAAACCGAUAGAGUUUCGUCGAUGUCGGCGUUGCUCCUCAAUCUUCUUUCAAUCUGUGUUGUUUUCUCUCCCCUGUAGCGUCCCUUUUCCAAAACGUAAAUCCUAUAUUUAUUUCUUCCAAAAGUGUGAUCACCUUUCCUUGUUCCUGUACGUUUUCUCCUAUAAGCCCAUCAAUUAAUAUGUUGCUUUUUGUCACCUCUUGUUUUUCUCUUCUUUGAUUAUAUAAAUAUAACCAAUAAUAAUGAUAAUAACCUAUUAAUUCCAAUCAUUUGCUUGCUUGACUCAAUAGACCAAAAAUACCAUACUUUAUUUAAAUUGACUCUAAAUUAAAUACUAAACUAAUAAAACUAGACUAAAAACUUAUUAAAAAAAAACUUUAAAAAUAGUGAAUGACUGACUGUCA